GUUAAUAGUUGAAAUCAGAGCCAAAAUCCGAAGAGACUAAACUCGAGCGAAGCCAGCGGCCGGAUCGUCCGCCGUCAAGAUCUACUCGAUGUGCAGCUGCUGUCGCCGGCCAUGCCACAUACUUCUCCCUCUCCUUCUCCCUCUCCUCCCUCUCCUCUUUCUCUACCCUUCCGCCGCCCCGCGGGUCAAGAGACCGGCUCCUCUCCCUCUCCGAUUCCGCUACGACGGCACCUUUAAAAUUCUGCAGGUGGCUGAUAUGCACUUCGGUAAUGGGUUGAUCACUCGGUGUAGAGAUGUGGAACUGAGCGAGGCUGCCUGGUGCUCUGAUCUCAAUACUACGAGGUUCCUUAAGAGGAUGAUUCAGGCUGAGGACCCUGAUCUCGUUGUCUUUACAGGGGACAAUAUAUUUGGGAGCAGCGCAACUGAUGCAGCUGAGUCUCUUUUCCAAGCUUUUCGACCUGUCAUGGAGUCCAGAACACCAUGGGCUGCUAUCCUGGGCAACCAUGAUCAAGAGUCGACGAUGACUCGAGGGGAGCUGAUGUCUUUCAUCUCUCUCAUGGAUUACUCUAUUUCACAAGUGAAUCCGUCCACGGUAGAGCCAACGAAGAUCGACGGGUUUGGGAAUUAUGAUGUUACAGUGAAGGGAGCUUUUGGGUCGGAAUUAUCAAAUACGAGCAUUUUCAGUCUGUAUUUUCUUGAUAGCGGCGAUCGCGAAAUGGUUAAUGGUUUUAAAACUUACGGGUAUAUCAAGGAGUCUCAGCUUGCUUGGCUUCGGAGAACUUCUCAAGAGCUUCAGGCAAAUUUCCAAGCCCCAGCCUUAGCAUUUUUCCACAUCGCAAUACCAGAAGUUCGAGAUCUCUGGUUCAAAGAAUUCAUAGGCCAUUAUCAAGAAGGAGUAGCUUGUUCCUCUGUCAACUCCGGUGUUUUAAAAUCCCUAGUCUCUAUGGGAGAUGUAAAGGCAGUUUUCCUCGGUCACGAUCACCUUAACGAUUUUUGUGGCGAAAUUGAUGGUAUAUGGUUUUGUUACGGUGGGGGAUUUGGUUACCAUGGCUAUGGAAGAGCUCAUUGGCCUCGGCGAGCAAGGGUCAUUUCGGCUAGCCUAAGGAGAGGUAAGAGGAAUUGGUUAGGGAUUGAAGCUAUUAGGACUUGGAAGAGAUUAGAUGAUGGCAAGCUCUCUAAGAUUGACGAUCAAGUGCUUUGGAGAGAUGAUGAAGUAGAAGGACUAGACUGAAAAUUGCAUUGAUGUGUUGUCGGUUGUUGUGAUCUUAUGUUCUUGGAUUCAGAGUUUUGAGUUGUUGUAUGUAUAUAUUGUAUUGAGAGUUAUUGGCUAAAUGCCCUGAUGCGUUGUCAAUUGUUGUAGAAAUUAUGUUCUUGGAUUCGAGAUUAUUGAGUUCUUGUAUAUCUUUGGCAAUUGUAGGGUCAUCUUUUAUUUAAUUGUA